CUGUGUAAGCCGUAUUUUUCGUUGGAAACUUGCGACUUUGCAAGCCGCACGGCGUUGAUCGUAGAGAUGAAGAGGAAAACGAAGGGUAUUUUGGUAAAUGAGAAAGGUCCGCAAAGCAAAAUUGAAACCCUAAUCCCUACCUUGUGAUGUUUAUAAGAAGCAAGAUGAAGGAGAUGGAGUCAUUCUUGCAGGGGUUGGGUUUGGUCAUCGUUUAAGCUUCCCCUUCUCCAUAUUCCUCUACUUGUACAUCUUCUUCUGCCUUUGGAUAGCAGAAGCAGUGGAAACUGGUUUCAGUGGGAUUGUGUGUAUCGGCGAUGUGCAAGAUCAUGCACUUUUAGCCGGAAGAGUUCCCUGCGAAAUCUAAUUUCGGUAGAGGAUGGGCAGUUGUGUACCAUUCUUUUCUGUUGGUAUUUCAACAAUCAUCAUCUCCACAUCAUGCCUCUGUGUUUUUUUUUUCUUCUUGAUCUUGGUAUAGCCUAAUAUUGCAAUUCUUUGUUGCAAGUUUAAAGAGGCAGCUAGGAAUCUAUCGUUAGGCAACAUGAAUCUCUUCCUUUAGCUCUGAUGAUCCUUUUUUCUUUCAAAUUGAAGGUAAAAAAAUAGGAUUUUUCGGUGACAAGGUAGAGAAAUCUUUCAUAUUUUUUUUCUCUUAAUUUUUUUUUUUGUUUCUUUUCAAUAUUUCUGGGAUUGGAAAGGAUCGAUUGUGUUAAUGAUGUUGAGUGAUGAAAUAAAUCAGACGGAUUCCCACUGAUUAUUCUGUGAUUACACAACCAGCUACUUCUGACACAUCAUUCAAUCUUUUCCUUUCCAUUGCUCAGCAAAAACCAAAAUUUUUCUACUCAUAAAAUUUUGAGUUUGAUUUUGGGUAUUGUGAUGAAACUAGAGAACUGAAAUUUGGGGAUGUUGAGAAGGGCCGGUGACGAAGGAUUAAUAUUUGCUACUCUUGAUGGGGUGCCAACCUCACUGAUGAUUCUUAUCCACCAAGAUCUCUGAGGCUCUCUCUUUCCCCUUUCAUUCUUUUUCCUAUCGGUAAUGCAUUGCCGUUUACAGACAAUGCAUAGCCAUUAGGGGUUUUCUAACUAGAGUGCCUAGAUAGUGUAAUGGGUAGCUAAGAAUUUCUGCCAUUAUCGAUUGUGAAAGACAGGUAAAGGUCUUAAAGAAUACUUAAAUCAUUGUCCAAGCUUUCUUCCACUAAUGGGAGAUUUUGAAACAGUUCAUUGGUGAAUUAGAUUGAUGGGACUGAAACUUAUUAUACUUAUUUUGACAUCAUAACAAGUAUAAUGGAGUGGAGAUUACAUAUUCUUUGUUGGGACUUGGGAGUUGGGUGCAGGUUCAACUGUUAUUUUUUUAUUGAUCAUCUUUGGGAAGAAGAGGACGAGAGCACAAAGUUAAAUUUUGAAACUAAAAAUCUGUUUUCCUCACCUGAUUCUCACCAUAGUUCAGAAGAGUUGGAGAUUAAUGAUAGUCAGUGUGUUCUAUCUUCUGUUUCUGGAGUGGAAAGGAUUGAUUCGGUUAAUGAUGUUGAAUGAUGAAAUAAAUCAGACGGAUUCCCACUGAUUAUUCGGUGAUUACACAACCAGCUACUUCUGACACAUCAUUCAACCUCUCCUUACCAUAGCCCAACAAAGAACUUUUUUUUAAACUCUUUUUGAAGUUUUAUUUUGGGAUGGGGCUGAAAUUAGCGAAAUGAGAUUGGGGAUGUUGAGACUUGAGAAGAGCCUGUGUUAAGUGAAUACUUCAGAACAAAUGUGAAGUAGAUUGAAAUUGUAAAAAGGGCUCCAUUUCUUGCUUUUCAUUACUUUCCCAAGCUAUAGAAUUGCAUGCAAAUUGAUUCA